CGUGAGACAGUUCGGUCCCUAUCCGUCGCAGGCGUAGGAAAUUUGAGAAGACCUGUCCUUAGUACGAGAGGACCGGGAUGGACGUACCUCUGGUGUACCAGUUGUUCUGCCAAGGGCAUGGCUGGGUAGCUAUGUACGGAAUGGAUAAGCGCUGAAAGCAUCUAAGCGCGAAGCCAACUUCAAGAUAAGAUUUCCCACCGCAAGGGUAAGACCCCAGAAAGACUAUCUGGUUGAUAGGUCGAAGGUGUAAGUGCAGCAAUGUAUUUAGCUUAUCGAUACUAAUAGGUCGAGGACUUGACCAAU
rnacentral:rRNA from 1 species